rnacentral:pre_miRNA from 1 species
UGGCCUAGUUCUGUGUGGAAGACUAGUGAUUUUGUUGUUUUUAGAUAACUAAGACGACAACAAAUCACAGUCUGCCAUAUGGCACAGGCCA